rnacentral:lncRNA from 1 species
ACCUCCAAGAGUCUUCUCCCAGACUCCAGCCUUGAGGAUGAGGACUCCAGGUAAUCAGUGAGCUUGCUGAAGAGGGAAGGUUGGGGGCUGGGGACAUGCCAGGCCAGGACCUGCAACAGAAACCGCCGCCCCACCUUUCCUUUCUGUGCCCCACCCCAUCCUGCCUAAAAAGUUGCUUUCCAUGAGGGCUUGGUGCUGAGUGUGGCCCCCACAGGGAUGUCUGUGUGGUCACAGAGUACCUGUGGGAGGGCAAUUCUGACCCCAAGGUAGGAAGCAGUGAUCCGGUAAUUCCAGGCACCAAGGCAGAUAAAAAGACCAAGGUAGGUGAACAGCAGAGUAGAGGCCUGGGUGUGAAAGGAGAAAGCCAUGAGCAUCUGGUUGGGAGUGGGAGCCCUGCUCUCUGAAGCUUGACUUUCUCAGGAGCAGCUGGGGGCUGGAGCUUGGGAACACAGGAUCAUGGGAUCCAAGUGACCAGGGUUUGAAACCAGGCAUAAAUAAUGCCUGCACUCUAUGGUUGUGGCCUACAUGGGACAUCACAGGGAAAGCACCGAGUAGGUGCUCAAUAUGUGUUUGUUUCCUCCCUCCUUCCCUUCCUCUCCUCUCCACCACUCAACAGCCACAGCCUCCUCAAGAAGUUUGAAGUCUGCAUUGAACUCAUUAAUUUCCAGCUUUUGGCCGGGCGUGGUGGCUCAUGACUAUAAUUCCAGCACUUUAGGAGGCCAAGGUGGGCGGAUCACCUGAGGUCAGGAGUUUGUGACCAGCCUCACCUACAUGAUGGGGCCCAUGAGUGAGGAGGACAAGAGAGAAAGGAGAAGUUUGGGUGUAAAUCCCAGAGAUUGUUCAUCAUGUGAGAGGAGCCGUGCAUGCAUUUCAUGCCAUACUCACACCAUGGAUGGAGAAAAAAAAUCAAGCUUCACUUUCUGAGAAUGGCCCUGGGGGCAC